GAUGAACGCUGGCGGCGUGCUUAACACAUGCAAGUCGAACGGAAAGGCCACAGCUUGCUGUGGUACUCGAGUGGCGAACGGGUGAGUAACACGUGGGUGAUCUGCCCUGUACUUCGGGAUAAGCUUGGGAAACUGGGUCUAAUACCGGAUAGGAAUCACAUGUGGGUGUGUGGUUGGAAAGCUUUUGCGGUAUGGGAUGAGCUCGCGGCCUAUCAGCUUGUUGGUGGGGUAAUGGCCUACCAAGGCGUCGACGGGUAGCCGGCCUGAGAGGGUGUACGGCCACAUUGGGACUGAGAUACGGCCCAGACGCCUACGGGAGGCAGCAGUGGGGAGUAGUGCACAAUGGGCGCAAGCCUGAUGCAGCGACGCCGCGUGGGGGAUGACGGCCUUCGGGUUGUAAACUCCGUUCGUCGGGGACGAAGCGAAAGUGACGGUACCUGGAGAAGAAGCACCGGCUAACUACGUG
rnacentral:rRNA from 1 species